rnacentral:lncRNA from 1 species
UAGAAGCAGAAGGCUUGCUGUUUAAAUGCUUUCUAGAAGCCCAGAGAAAUAUUCCCUUUGGCAGCAGUGGGAAGAGUGUGCCGAGCUUUUUGCAAAGAGCUGUGUUAAUCUCAGGAUUUGCCAAAAGGCAAAGCAGGCAUUUGCUUCUGCCCUUCUGGACUUGAAAGCAAAACACAGCGGAAGAAGAAGAAAAUGGAAGUGAAGGAAGCAAGGGGUGGAUCCGGGCUGAAGCAUCAAGGUUUGCAAACAAGAAUGGAAGAAGGCCCAAGGGACUUGAUAUCUACAAACUAUAGCAGUGAUGCAGUCUCUGUUUCCUUCAAAAAAUCCUUGGAUGUUGCUAAUAAUUCACCCAGUAAUGGUGUAUCUGGAAAAAAGGAGAGGAGGAAGAGGAAGAAAAUGAAGAAAGAGACUUGAGGGAGUUGUGCAGCUGCCGGAGUGACAACCCGAUGGGGCAGGCAUACUGAUGAGCUGCAAGGAUUCUGCUUUCUGUGAUGCCACACCAAGCCCAAAGCGAAGGGAGACAUCAGGAGACUCCCAGUGAGAGGAAGAGGAGAAGAGGAACAGUGAGCCAGAGAGCGUGAGUGUGUGAGAGAACGGAGAGAGUGAGCAGGCUGUGCACAGGAGGUGGUUUUGAAACAGAGUGGCUGUUCAUUGCAAACUGCUGCCCUUGGUCAAAAGGUGUUGAAUGGAGUUUGACUGGUUGCAUUAGGUCCUUUCAGUUUUUCACUGUCAUGUUAUUUGUCAACUUGUAGUGUUAUAUGCCAUUGUAGAAAUAGUUGGGCUGUACCUGACUGUGGUUGUACUUUGGUCCCAUGGAGGAUCCACCAUUCCUCUUGCAUUUUGGCAGAGAUACUCAUCGACAGGCUAGUAAUGUACAGAAGGAAGCACUGUUCAGAGACAAGGGGAGAAUAACAUGGAUCAUUCUCAAACCUCCUAAAUAUUUUUAAAUCCUUGUUGGCUGCUAUAGUCAGACUUUGCCUCAUACCUUGCCAUAUUUAUACUUUUUACCCCAUGUCAGACUAGCAUGCUCCACAAGGGAACAUUUCUAAAGGAGGUUUUAAACUUGUUUGGAAAGCUGGUCUAAACCUUCUUUUCUCCUUGGAUUUCAUGGUGGGCUAAAUUUUAAAGUCUGUAUGUCCAAGCAUGUUGCAUUCAUACUUAUAAUAGACUGAGGUAACUUUUAAAAACAUUUUUCUUCACGUGUUGUUUGGAAGUUUUUAUCAUUUUGUUACUUGAAUAUUCUAAUAUAAACUAAAUUUGUGAAUGAAAUUUUUAAAAAUGUCAGUUUAGUAUUUAUUGACAAGUGUGUAUUUCUCCUUGUCAGAGAGCUCACAGUAUGGAGGAGAGAAUCUGUUACAAUUGAAUACUGUGGUUUAUAAACAAUGCUAAGUUGACACCACUAAAAGCAGAAGCC